UGCACCUGCCACCCUAAAUCUGUUAACCUAAAACUGUUGUCAUAAAUGCCACAAAUAAAAUCCAAAAUUGUAUACUAAAAAUUGCUGCUUAUUAUUCCGAUUAAAGGGAGGCAGAUUGUUCCAAUGAUAAUUCAAAAAAAAUCUGUAUGCCAAUAAAGGUAGAAUGACGUCGUAUAUUUUCAAUGCAAUCGGAAACUGGUUUUCGGACGAUAAAGGUGUAUUAGAUGAAGGCGACCCGUUGGAUUUCGAAUCUGGACCUUUCUUGGAUUACGCAAUAUCAUGGGUUUAUUUUUUCAAAAAACUGAUAAUCCCACGAGAAUAUCGCAUGAAAGUAGGUAACAUCAGAUGUGUCUCCAUUUGCCAACAAAAGAAGAAUCAAUGUAAAACUUAACAAAUUUUAAAAUAAAAAUAUUAUACUCAA